rnacentral:rRNA from 1 species
UUGAGCGAUUUACUUCGGUAAAGAGCGGCGGACGGGUGAGUAACGCGUGGGUAACCUACCCUGUACACACGGAUAACAUACCGAAAGGUAUGCUAAUACGGGAUAAUAUAUUUGAGAGGCAUCUCUUGAAUAUCAAAGGUGAGCCAGUACAGGAUGGACCCGCGUCUGAUUAGCUAGUUGGUAAGGUAACGGCUUACCAAGGCGACGAUCAGUAGCCGACCUGAGAGGGUGA